AGGUGACCUGUGAAGAUGGUUCGCUACUCUCUUGACCCAGAAAACCCCACAAAAUCAUGCAAAUCAAGAGGUUCAAACCUUCAUGUUCACUUUGAGAACACCCAGGAAACCACCCAGGCCAUCACGGAUAUGCAUAUCCGCAAAGCCACCAAGUAUCUGAAGGAUGUCACUUUAAAGAAGCAAUGUAUGCUAUUCCUGCAGUAAAAUGGUAAAGUCCUUAGGUGUGCCAAGCUCAAACAGUAGGGCUGGACAUACGGACAGUAGCCAAAAAAGGGUGCUGAACUUUUGCUGCACAUGCUUAAAAAUGCAGAGAGUAAUGCUGAACUACGGUUUAGCCGUAGAUUGUCUAGUCAUUGAACACAUCCAAGUGAACAAGGCACCUAAGAUGCACCGAUGAACCGGAUCAACCCAUCCAUGAGCUCCCCCCUGCCACAUGCAGAUGGUCCUCACUGAGAAGGACAGAUUGUUCCAAAGCCAGAAGAGGAGGUUGCAUAGGAGAAAAAGACAUUCCAGAAGAAACUGAAGAAACAAAAACUCAUGGCAUGGGAAUAA